rnacentral:lncRNA from 1 species
GCUCUCUCUUAGUAGCCAGAGAUAUUUGAAAGAAGCUCAUACACAUGAUAUAAAGAGAGAGCAUUACUUUCACUUGCUAUAUAUGAUGAAUAUGUGACAUAGUAAGAGUAUACAACAGAAAAACAAACAAAGGGGGAAAAUAGGAAUACCGAAUAAUGCCAUCAUCAUGAUCAUUAUCAUUCAUUAGACAGGUUUUUUAUCUGUAGAAUGAUAAUUGUGAUAUCAUCAGUCCUAUUCUCAUGCUCCAACCACAGUUUAUAUGAUUCUGCUGCAGCUGCUGCACAUCCAUCUCUCGGAUCAGCAUAUCUCCCCACCUGCAAACACACACACACUUCUCAAUCACUCUAUAGACAAGAGUUGUGUCAUAAUUACAAUACCUUCUGAUUUUGGACUUGGCCUACAAAGGAUGGCAUGAUAAUCCCUUUGCCAAAACUUCCUCUCUACUUUAGCUUGAUACUCCACAAGAUCUCCAUUGUCAAUCUCUCUAGCCAUAAACGUGAUGUAUGACUUGAACCCAUUCACCUUGCUCAGAUUAGCCCUCACAAUAGAUUCUAAUGUUAGUUUGGAUCCCUCCUACACCAAAAACAAAUUGUCGAUCAAAUAUUGGUAAGUUGUCUCACAUGUCUAAUUAAGAUAUGAGUUAAUUAUAUACCUUCAUCUCAUUGUAUUUGUUCAGGGCCACAUCUACCAUGUUUUCCAUGUACUGGCGACCCGUAAGCCCGGUAGGAUAUAAUUGAUUAUCAAGAUCAACAGGAGAAAAGUAACGAAGUCGUCCCGGGUAGACUUCUCCAUCAACAAAGAAACCCUGAGAGUGAGCACACAAGCAUUUGACUUUGGAUAUACAGAUUAACAAAUUUUAAUUUAGCCCAACAGAAAAAUCACCAUAUAUCCAAUCCAAAUUCAAAGUUAUUGUAUGGUUGAUUCAUAAAAUCAAUCAAAUAUAUGUUCAUUUUUAUAAGUAGAAUCUACAAAGUACCUUAUUCUUGUACAUCUGAGGUCUAUAUAGACGCAUUUUUUCAAUUUCUUCCUCUGAGGGAGCUGUCUUCGUUGGGGGUUUGAAAUCGGUUCCCUCGUCGAAACUAUCCACAUCCCAUGCUUGUUCACUUUCACGACUGGACUCAUCACUAGACUCCCCAUCGGUGGUAGAAUCCGAGUACUCAACAUCCAUCGGCUCUUCUUCAAGAUAGAAAAAAAAUAAAUAAUAUAGCUAUUUUAACAAAGCAGAAAGAUGAACAAACUUCUUAAGACGUUUGGUUCAAGUCAGUAACACAGAAGUUUAAAUUGACGUUCGUGGGUUCUAAAAUAUGCAACAAAAACAGAAACAUUAAGUGACACAGUACAUAUAUAACACACAAGUGUUUGUGGGUUCCAACACAACAUUACAAAAUAAAAACAAUCAAAAACGAUGCUUAAUGAAGAACCAUAUGCUAAGAGUGUAUGUAUACCUUUGGGUUCUGGAGUUGGCCUGCAAAAGAUGACAUGAGUUUUCUUUUGCCAAAUUCUCUUGUCUGUUUUUGCCUGGUACUCUACAAGUAGAUCACCAUUUGAAGACUCUCUGGCCAUAAAGGUAAUGUAGCAUUUGAGCCCACACGCCAAAUCAAUGAUAGACCUCACAAUAGAUUCACAUGUCACCGUUAACCCCUACAAGAGAAGUCUACACCCAGCAUUAGGAAAAAAUUAAUUCUAAAGUGAAAAUUGAUAUAAAGCCAACCUUGAUCUUGUUGUAUCUUUCCAGGGCCAAAUCAACCAUGCUUUUCAUGUACUCACGGCCAGUAAGUCCAUUAGCACCACUGUAUUCAAAUGGUUCAUCGAGAUCGAUGGGGAAGAGUUGUCUGUAGAGUAGGCUCCCCGGGUAGCUAUCUAUAUCAACGUCGAAUCCCUGAGAAAACCACCAGCAAUGAUCAUGAUCAUCAAGUUUAUCAAAGUUACACACUAUCAAGAGACAAACCUUGCUCUUGUACAUGGAAGAUCUGUACCGAUGCAUCUUCUGACCUAUCUCAUCGUUGGGAUCAAGAUUCCUUCUAGGUCUGUAGUCGAAUCCAUCGUCGAAACUAUCCACUUCCCAUUCUUGGCCUUCCUCGCGGCUGGACGCGUCGCUUUCCUCGCAUUUCUCCUCCUGUUCUUCGUUAACGUCGCCUACACCACCGUCUUCGACAUCAUCGGAAGAAUCCAGUAAAGAACCGCCAUUCGCCUUAGGCAUCCCUGUAGCCGUAGGCCGUGUCUCCUUGCCGAGCUCCAUGGGUUUCGUGACGUUCGUUAUCAUCGAAGUGCGUUGAAUAGAUUCAGACGUCAACAACUUUUGAAUUAACCCUAGGACGUAAGGCAAAAGGUUACUACAAAUCAACAAUGGGUUAAUCUCUGGUAUAGAGAUUUUUAUAAUUAUAAAUUAAUAUUGUAAAUAUCCUUUAUUAGUUUUAAGAUUUUGUAUGUAGUCAAAAUGUCUUUUUAUAAAAAUAACAUAAAUAAGAAAAAAAAUUCCAGAUCUUUUAGAUCUUCUCCAUUUUCUUUUCUGGUACAAAUCCAAUGAAUUCUUAUCAGGAUUUAUCAAUAAUCUCCACAAAACUAAUAAAGCAAAAACAGUUUCAAACCUCUUUGACCAUCAUCAUAUAUUAGUACGAGAUACAACUAUGCAUUAAAACAAUAUUGUCAUAUUUUUUAAAAUUUUGUCAAUAUCUAUGUGUUAACCCCUAUGAAAAUAUUGUAAUUUUGGUAAAUACUAAAUGCUUUAUAUACUGAAGCCUAUAAUCUUUAGUGUUGUUUUAAAAUUUCUAACCACAUUCUAAAUUUGUAUUAAUGUAUUUUAAGCUCUUUUUCAUGCUAUGUGAGAAUCCUUAUAAUUUUUUUAUCAAUUAUGAUGAUUAUGAUCAUCAAGUUUUUAUCAAAGUUACACACGAUCAAGAAAUAAACGUUUUCUAGCGAUUCUUCAUCCACAUAAGGCGCAUGGUAUGAGGAAAAGCUAUAAGAUUUACCUAAUAAUCUACAAACCCAGAAUAAUUAAACCUUAUAAGGUUUUAAACGGAAGAGACAAAGAUUUUUUUUGUUUUUGUUUGGAGACAAAGCACACCUGAGGAGGAGAUGAGGAAGAUGAACCGCCCACGAUUAUAGCAAUCUCGGGUUGUUGAGCUGCCUGAUCUUGUUGCUUCAUCGUCAUCGUACCAAUACUAAACCGGUGAUAUAAAUUACUGUUUGUAAUCAAAGCUGCUCGACAUGUACUCUGCGAGAGAGAAGAGAAUCAAAGUAUUUAAUGAAAUUAUUUGAGUUAUUAUUAUGGUUUAAGUUAUUUAUGUGCGUAUCAAAAAAAUUCUUCAAUUUUGUUAGUCUGAUACACGAAGUUCACUAUUCCCUUCAAUAUUUCUCUAGAUAAUUCUAGUAUAUCUUUUACAAUUACUUUCAAAAGGAGAAAAUCAAUUCAGUGGUCUACCGGAAGACAAAAACAUUUAAAAGAGUAAUAUUUUCCUAAGUAAAUUAUUAUUAUUAACUAAUGGAUGGUUCAUAUCUUUUGCAUGCAACUUUCGUUCCAUGAGCCACUUUUAUUUGCUUUAGGAUUUUAACUUUCUUCUUCCUCAUUUUCUUUCUAUGCUUGUUCUUUUGGGUCUACUAAUUUAAGCAAAAGAAAAAUGCCUUUGUUUUUUUUAUUUCUCUGGACUGAUGUGGAUGCUACUUCAAAGUGUUGGCAAGUUUUUCUUGGUCUUUUAUCCUCAUUGUUUUGUUUUUUCUUCCCAAAAUUUGUGUGGAAUCAAGAAACUGACUUUAAUGUUUGUUUGGGCCAUUUGUAUUUGCUUUAGGGUUUUGACUAGCUUCUUCUUCUGAUCGCUUCUCUUUUCAUUAUUCAUUACGUUUCUGCCUGUUUCUUUCGUUCUUUCGGAUUUAUUAUUAUUAUUAUCUAAUCAAAAAAAAUGUUUUUCAUCUGACUUAGAUGUUUUAGUAAGUUUAUAAUUUCUUAGGUUUUUAUCAUAUAUUUUGUUGUUGUGAGAACAAUUUUCUUGACUUUGCUAUAUCAUAUUUAUUUAGCAGUAACCAGUGAAGAGAUUGGAGCUCGCACUGCACACCAGAGAAGAGCUCACUUUUUGUGCAUUCUCUUUUUGCAGCAAAAUGAUGAAAAAACACAAAAAGUGAAUUGGGUGUUUCAUCCCAAAGAAGAUGCCCACAUAAUUUUCAUUGAAGACGAAUUGAACACUGCUCAUGUUGGUAUAAUCAUAGAAAUCGAUGAAGAAUUCAGAUUUACUAUGUGAGGUACAGUGAAAAAAUGUUAAUUUGUACAAUGUAAAACUAAUGUUUAUUGCUUAUUAGUUAUUUAUCCUGAUUUUUUUAGUUGUUGUUUAGGAGAUUUACAAAGUGAGGCUAAGUGGCUAACAAUACCCAACAAGAAAAGUGUAAUACUCAAGCAUACAUCCAGAUCAGGUUAGCCUGAUUGAUAUUCAGAGUAAAGGUGCACAACCCAUUAAUUGGUAAAAGCCCAACUUUUGAUGUUGUGCUUGAACUUUUCAAAUAAAAAUGUAUAUUUAGAGUUUCAUUCUAUUUUUUUAUUUGUGUUCUCAAUAUUCCACGUUAACAAGCACACACUAGCAAGGUGUAUGCUUAAAACCAUCAAUUAGGUUCAAUUGUGACUAAAACGCAAACUUAGUGUUUCCCUUUGAGCUUCAUUUUAACUUCAAAUCCGAUUAAACUGGCGAAUAGUUUUUACCUUAAACUAGGUCUAAUUAGAAAAUAAGACAAAAUUUAAACAUAUAAAGGCGUAUCCUAUUUCGGAAUAAGUUUCUCUGUUCAUAAUGUCUUAUAAGCUUAGUAGAACAUCGAUCUGAUUCAAAAAAUCAAAACAAACUCAAUUACCAUAAUAAUUUAAUAACUAUCUAACCUAAGAUUAGAAAAAUGCAUCCAUUAGCCAAUAAUUACAAUAUCAUACCUUCUGAUUUCUGACUUGGCUUACAAAGGAUAGCAUGAUGUUCCCUUUGCCAAAACUUCCUCUCUAUUUUAGCUUGACACUUUACAAGAUCUCAAUUGUCAAUCUCUAUAGCCACAAACAUGAUGUAUGACUUGUACACAUUCACCUUACUCAGAUUAUCCCUAACAACAGAUUCUAAUGUCACAUUGGAUCCCUAAACAAAAACAAAUUAUCGAUCAAAUACUGGUCAAUUGACACACAUGUUUAAAAUCAUAUACCUUCUUCUCAUUGCAUUUAUCUAGAAGCACAUCCAUCUUGUUUUCCAUAUAAUGGCAACCUGUAAGCCCGGUAUGAUAUAAUUCCUCAUCAAGAUCAACCGAAGAAAAGUAAAUAAUUCUUUGGGGUAGACUUCUCCAUUCACAAAGAAACUCUGAGCACAAAAGAUAACAAAAAAAAAAGUUUUAUGAUCUUUUACCUCUUCUUCAGAGAUCUUAUUCUCUUUAUGGUACAAAUCCAAUGAAAUCUUAUCAAGAUGUAUCAAUAAUCUCCACAAAGCUGAUAAAAUACAUUUUUAUUAGCAUUGUGUCAUUAUCAUCGACUUCGGUUCAUCAGGGUAUCAGCCCAACUUACCAAUUGGUCCAUUAUAACCGACUUCGGUUCACUAGGAUAUCAGCCUAACUUACCAAUUUGUUCAUUCAAAUCAGGCCAAUGACAUUUGCAUAACCGGAUUCAAAUCGAGGACUACAUAGGCAAAGAUAAAAUAUGCAUUGCAAACCAAUCAUUUUUUUGUCAAUUUCUUUGAUCAACAGCUUUGUUUUGUCGAUUUCGUGUUUCUGAUAAAUUGUUUGUAACGUCUCUUGUUCUUGAAUCAGUUAGCUUUUGUUCUCUACCAAUGGACUCUCUAUUUCAAUUGGGACUAUAAAUGGGAUCGUUUUACUUCUAGGUUAAGCGAUAAUUACAUUUCUAGAAGGAAUCUGGACUCAAAAUGCAUACAUAUACUAAAAGGUCAUCUUAUGUACUCAGAUUAAAUCAUUUAACACAUCAAGUCAAGGUACAACAUUCAGCAGCCAGCCGAUAGUUAUUAUCUGUUUUCAGCUCAUGUUGUGUCUGUCUCUCAGUAACUAUAUAUAAAGAGAGAGCAUUCGUUUCACUUGCUAUAUAUGAUGAAUAUGUGACAUACUAAGAGUAUACAACAACAAACAAACAAAGGGGGCAAAUACGAAUACUGAAUCAUGCCAUCAUCAUGAUCAUCAUCAUUCAUUAUACAGGUUUUUGAUCUGUACAAUGAUAAUUGUGAUAUCAUCAGUCCUAUUCUCA